rnacentral:rRNA from 1 species
UUGAAAGGGAAACGAUUGAAGUCAGUCGUACCUUCGGGUAAUCAGCCUUUCGGGUGCGAUUCUGUGGAGUUUGAGGAGCUUAACACCUUCAUGCUUUGCAUAUUCGUGCUCUUGGGUGUACUUGCCCGUGUGGUUGGUUAACAUCAAUUUCGGGCACCAUAAAAUGGCUGGAGGGAUGUGGCUCCUUCGGGAGUGUUAUAACCUUUAGCGGAAUGUGGUGUUCGGGAUUGAGGAUUGCAACGAAUACCUUUAGGGCUGUUCCACCUGGCUUCUCUUUGGUAUCCUGGUGACGACAGCUUGCUGACGUCGUUAGGAUUCGCCUUUGAACAGGUUAGAGUGUGAGCAAAUUCGUUAAGGAUGUUGACGUA